GUAAAUUUUCUAUUUAAUCUUUCCCAAUAUGUUUUGACCCUGUUCAGUAUGCAAAGCGUGAAUUCGUCCACAUUCCAAAGUUGAAUUCCAAAGUGUUUCACAUUAUAUGGCAAAAACAAAUCAAUUGGUAUCAGAUAUAUUUGAAAUUGUGGAAAGUUUCCAAAAUGUUUAAAUUAUUUAUAGAACAGGGUUUUCAACUUGAAAAUCUAAACACACAAUAUUAUUUACAACAAAACAACGAAAAAUUAAUGUAAACAUUGUUUUCGGAAUGCGAAUCGUUUCGGUUUGUUUUUGCACAUGCAUCAAGGUGACAAAAGGCAGAUGCGAAACGCAUAAAUCUUGUGCAAAAAUUAAAACGGCGAUUUUUACGCAAUGAUGUUUGCAAGCCCAGAAAUAGAUUUCAGAUAAAUUUAGAUGUGCGCAUCCAGAUGAAACUGUUGACUCAAUCAGAAAUUUAAUUUUUUU